ensembl:lncRNA
GGCCAACCCAGGGGAGCUCAGUUGCCUGGAAUGAACCUGUGUCUGUAAGGGGUGGGGCCAGGAUCCAGCCCUUCCCAGACCUCAUUUAAGGGCUGGCAGUAGAGAUGAGGGUGUCUUCCUGGAGAUCCCUGCUUACCCAAGGCCUUCCAUAGCUUUUAAGACCUUGGUCUGCUUUACGGUGAUUUAAAGGGCAUCUGUGAUUUUACCCACCAAGUGUCUUCUGCUGUGUGAAGCGAAUGCUGCAUGGAGUUUACAAGUGCUUGUCUAUGACAUCUGGAUCUCGGAGCUCACAGGGAAAACCACCCUCACCCACCCUGCAGGAGGAGCACAAUGGCACAAUGGCACCCUCUGUUGCCCUGCGCGCUGCUCCCACGUGGAUGUAUGAACUCCUGAAAGUAUCCAUUCCCCAUCUCCAAAUCUCAUCUCUUCCCGCCGAGCUUCCUUGUUUGUUUGGAGUUAUCCUGUUAUUUCCAUUUGUAAUAAAACCCGUCUUGUUCUUUUUGUGCUGAGUGGAGAAACAUCGAGAGGAUUGUCACGCUCAUUUCAUGAACAGUUGGCCUCCUGUCCCCAUUUUGUCCUCCCUAAGUGGCAGCUCCUUGCAACAGUUGUAUUAACAACUGAGCUCAGCCCUGCAAAGUGGUGGGCAUUUCCAGCGUUAACUGGAAAGCAAUUAGUCUUGAUGAGAUUGGGCUGUCCAACUCUCAGACAAUUAAUUAAAUUACAGCUUGUCUUUCAUUUGGUUAAACAAAAACUUGAUUCAUUAAUUAAAAUACACUGUGAAUCUGAUUUUUUGCUCUGAUCCUCUGUGUGUUCGUAAGCAAACAACAAGUUCCUUUUAGGAACCAAAACAAAAUUCCUUCUGGAGCAUGACAAGUUUUCACUCCUAAUCACCUUGUAUCCAUGUGAACACACUUUAAUUGCUCAUUAACACAAAGUUAGCGGGCUGACACACAACUAGCUGCUUCUUUUGGACUUCUCUAACAGUAACUUUUUUGUGUGUGUCUCGUAAGGAGACCAGACGUUUCUCAGAAUCAAUCAACUUUUUCUGUGUUUUACUUCCAUGCCAUGCUGUAAAGGAUUGUACAGUUGCCUUGCUGUAAUGUUAUUAUUCAGGACUGAUUUUACUGUGAUGGCAUAAGAGGAAUUAGACAUGUCCAUUCUAUUGUUGUUGAUAUGACUGUGCCUAUUUUCCCCAUAUGCAGUCUGAAACAAUUAUCAGAAGCAGUACAUAGAACUCAUCACUUAGAAAUGAUUACUUAGAAGUCAUUAGAUGUUGUUAAUGUGAACAGAUUUUUGUAAAAGCCACGUUUUGUGCAGGACUGGUUAUUUUUAGAUAAAAAUAUUUAAACUGAAGAAGAGAUUUCAAUUUUUCAAAUUGUGAUGUACAGGAACUCAGUGAGAAUUAAAAAUCUGACAUAAGAUCCAGUAUAAAAAAAGUAUUUCAGUGCAUCUAUUUGACAAGCACAAAUGGUCUGUAAGUAUGUUGAAUUAUAACAAAAAAUGAGUUGGAAAUAUUUGGGAUACUCUGUCUGUUCAGUUUUAAGCAGCCUUACCUACUGUGCCAAUGACUUACAGUCAGGUUUGGAUUCUGUGUGCUCAUCAUCAGCUUUCAGGAUCCAUGCUACAUUUGCCUCCUUUGAUUCUGCAAAGAUUUUGUCAAGAAAUUGAACUGAAUUUUAUCCCAGGCCUCACAAAUACAACCAUGUUUGACAGUUGUGGGAAAGAAGGGGGUUCGAGCUGCAUCUAUUGUUUGUUCAGAAAUAUCUAAUUUCAUAAGUCAAAUUACUCGUAAUGAUUCCAUACUAAUUUGUUAUUUGAAUCCUUUGCAGGCCUACUUUCUCCCAGAUGAUGGGAGACAAGAGGAAUUGCCUAAGCUUUUGAUACUGUGUAGAUCUCUGCUGAAACACAUUCUGAUUGCUACUGAUCUAGACAUAUUUUUUUUCUUAUAAGCUUAAGCCCGCAAGCUUCAGAAUUUAGCAUAAAAGACCAGCUGUCACCUGAUUUUGUUGUUCUUUUUUUUAGAGAAACAAUUCAAUUUUAGGGGAAAAAAAGGCAACUCAAUGUUAAAAUGCCAAAGAAAAGCUUCUCUGAAAUGUAAACAAAACCAAAAUGACCAUACCUUAAAACAGCACAUUUCAACAGGAGUUGAAGUGUUCCUCCCUUCUGUUUUCUCAAACCGAAGUGCUGACAAAAUCAGUAUGUUUUCUGAAGUGUUUCAUUUUGAUCAGAUUUGCAUGUUUUGGUGAAAUAUGGAUCCAGUGAAGCGAUCCUGGCUGGCUGAAUGUGUUGUUUCUUUUGGUUUAUGGCAUCUGCGAGCCUAUCAAAACUGUCCCAGUCUUCCAUGAAUGGAGAAAUGAUUCCAGUUAAGUCAAAAAGAAAGAAAGAGAGAAAGAAAGAAAGAGAGAAAGAAAGAAAGAAAGAAAGAAAGAAAGAAAGAAAGAAAGAAAGAAAGAAAGAAAGAAAGAAAGAAAGAAAGAAAGAAAGAAAGAGAAAAAGAAAAAGAAAAAGAAAAAGAAAAAGAAAGAAAAAGAAAAACCAACCCUGAAGUGUUGUCACUCUUAUCCAGAAAACCAGGCCCAAGUGAACAUUCAGAAAAAGGAUAGAAAUAGAUGGAAGAGAUGUCAUUCCUUGUGAAGAAGGGGGGAAGUUUAGGUUAGAUGUUAGGAAGAAAUUCUUUUCUCAGAGGUUGGUGAGGCACUGGUACAGGCUGCCUGGUGAGUUGUAGAUGCCCCAUCCCUGGAAGUGCUGGAGGCCAGGUUGGAUGGGGCCAUGUGCAGCCUGAUCUGGUGUGGAGCAACCCAGCCCACAGCAAACGGCUAGGAGAGGAUGAACUUCAAGGUCCCUGCCAACCUAAGACAUUAUGUCAUUCUAUGAUUCUUUGAUUCUGUGCAGUCACCUGUCUUUGCAUGAUGGAGAAUACCAAUCCUCAGCCAAAGACAUCCUCAUUCCUUUUAUAUUUCCCUCACAUUUCCCUGUACACAUUUGCUACUGACUUGAUGUGGCAAAAAUGCCCAUUUGCACAAGCUGUGAGUCUUCUAGGGACUCCAUUGCCUGGCUUAUCACUUUAACAUCUGAUCUCAACUCUACUUUAAAAUUCAGAGCUGAAACAAAGGAUGCCAAACUAAACCAUGCACGUGUCCAUCUCCAGCUGAGAAGGGGACACGAAGAAAAGAAAUCUGUUGUCACCUCUGGAGAUGUGGUCCAUUUCCAAGCAAAAUCUGGGUACAAUGCAGCAGAAAGUCACCACGUGCCACGGAGUUGUUUCAGCCCUUAAAAAAAAACCAGAUUUGUUGAGGGUGACUCCUGUUUCCCCACUAGUACAUAAACAUUGUGUUUAGCUACACCAAUUCCCCAGGAGCGAUGAGCGUGCUGGCAGGUCAGGGGACCUGCUGUUGGGUUAUAUCAUUGUUAUGAGAGUCACACUGCUAAGAAGCUUUGAGUUGUACCCCAUGCUGAGAAUAAUCCAAAUAAUCUGCAACUCAAAGCAUCCCUCAUCAGGGAUCACUGUGAACACAGGCAAUUUCAGCUGACCCGAUGAGCUAAACAUAAACAUGUCAAGAUCUCAAUAGUACCAGAACAUUUGUUUUAAAUAUCCUGUGUGAAAUUGGUGCCAAUGGACAACAUCAAUCGUUUGCCAGAUGUUCUUUUCUCUAAUUUUACUGCAGAGCACAUACAAGUAUGUGCUGGAAUUAACAUGAUGACUGGGGAGAACACAGUAGCCAACCCUUGGUUUAUUGCAGCAGUGCAAAAGACAGUAAUUUCCAGGAAGAGAGAUUACUCCUGGUUCAAAAGACUGUGAGAUAUGCAUGCAGCCUCUCAAGGGAUAUAUAUAUCUCAUGCAAACAAAUAACAUGAUCUAUGAGCCCUUUAAGGUUAAGUUUUGACAGUGGUAGAACAGGUGAGAGCUUGGACUGUAUAGCUCUCUUCUCAUGAGCUGGAUGUUGUUAUCCAGAGAAGAAAGCAAAGUGCACAUCACUAGUAUUGAGGCUAACCACAACCACAAGCUCAGAGCAAUCUACAAUCUACAGCAGAAACCCAGAGUGGUAAAACUGCAACUGGAAUGAGGCAUAGAGAUGAGUCAAGUACGAGGGUUGCUCCAAAAGUAAUGCCUCCUGUUUUAUUCCGUUGGCCCAUUAUGUCAGUAGCAGAUGAUGGCAGUAGGGACUGAACCUUCCCACCAAUAUUCUGUUACAUUUUGUUGCUGUGUGACAGAUGGCAGCAGAGGGGCAGUCUGACAAAAUGGUGUCUGACAUGGAAGUGUGUAUGAAACAAAGGUGAAAGAUAAGGAAAGCUGGGACCGCAGAAAUUUAUCUGGUAAUUGCUGAGAUCUGUGUCCACGGCAAAUGUAUUCUGCACAGAAAGAGAGCGGAUGCACUGUUCCACAUCUACCAAAGCAUCAAAUGACGUUUUUCAGGGCAUUGCUGCUGUAACAUAUUGUGUAAAGAAACUAGAUCAGAAAUACUGAAACACAUAUAAAAAAAGAUAACGUGUCUUUCCAUCCACAUUGUCAAUAGAUUCAGAGCAGGAACAGUGCCAGAUUAAAGCAAAGCAAAUAUUUGCAGUAUAAUAUUUUAUUCAUCAGAAAUUCUUCAAGUUUUUGAUGGAUAUUUUUGGCUGAUACAGAAAUUCUUUAACUACAAAGUUUUAUUUGAGUGUUUUCAGAAACGCUGCUGAAUAUGAGUCUCUUAAGACUGAAAUCUUCUUAAAAAAAAACAACAAAAACAAACAAACAAAAAAACCCACAUAGAUAGAACAGAGCAUUCAUUUUUCUAUACAUUUACAUAAGUCUUUGGAGGUUUUUAGUGUGCAGUGGAUAAACUGAUGGAUUUAAAUGACACAGAUAUCCUCAGCGCAAAAUCUCAGAUCCUGGAGCUUUUAUUUACCAAAGGAAGCCAAACUCAAAACAUAUUUUGUUUACCUUUGGCCAUAUUUUCUUCAAGAUAUUACUUCAAAUGCAAGAGGGCAUGCCAUCUUAGGAAUAAUGUCUCUCUUUAUACAUCUUUAACAGAUUUCCUUCCUUCCUUCCUUCCUUCCUUCCUUCCUUCCUUCCUUCCUUCCUUCCUUCCUUCCUUCCUUCCUUCCUUCCUUCCUUCCUUCCUUCCUUCCU